AUUCAUAAUUCUUCAAUAUCCUCUCCUCUCCAAUCCAUAUCGGCAGACGGCAUCUCUAGCAAUUCGAAAAGUCCCAAAAGUUUUCCAAUCAAAUCAGGUUUUCAGGGCUUCAUCUUUUCUUGUAGGUUCCCAUAUGGGAAUGAGCAAAUUCCUGAAUUUUGAGAUGAAUUUAGCUCAGCAUUAUCAAAUUACUGCUAUCACGAGGACUUAGCCUUGUCAACCACCGAAAGAGGUAAUUCUAGUACAUCGGGGAAACUGCAAUAUUUUUCAUAGACUGGGUAGAGUGAGAAAGACUAUGAAUUAGGAUUGCAUCUAAAAUGAAUUUAUGAUUUCCACAAUCAGUCCCUUUUAUAGCUUCUAGAAAUUUAUAUACAUAUUCAAUUUCAUUUAGUCUACAAUGUAUGAAAUAUUGAAAUUCGACCCUUUGUGGAAGGUUUGACUCUCUUUCUUUA